rnacentral:rRNA from 1 species
CAGCAGCCGCGGUAAGACAGAGGAUGCAAGCGUUAUCCGGAAUGAUUGGGCGUAAAGCGUCUGUAGGUGGCUUUUCAAGUCCGCCGUCAAAUCCCAGGGCUCAACCUGGGAAUUGCAGUGGAUACUGGGUCACUAGAGUGUGGUAGAGGAUAGUGGAAUUUCCGGUGUAGCAGUGAAAUGCGUAGAGAUCGGAAGGAACAUCUGUGGCGAAGGCGACUAUCUGGGCCAACACUGACACUGAGGCACGAAAGCGUGGGGAGCAAACAGGAUUAGAUACCCCCGUAGUCCCUGUCUCUUAUAC